UGAGGAAUAUUGCGCAAUGGAGGAAACUCUGACGCAGCCAUGCCGCGUGCAGGAAGACUGCCCUAUGGGUUGUAAACUGCUUUUAUAUAGGAAGAACUACAGCUACGUGUAGCUGUUUGACGGUACUAUACGAAUAAGGACCGGCUAACUCCGUGCCAGCAGCCGCGGUAAUACGGAGGGUCCAAGCGUUAUCCGGAUUUAUUGGGUUUAAAGGGUCCGUAGGCGGGUUAUUAAGUCAGUGGUGAAAUCCUACAGCUCAACUGUAGAACUGCCAUUGAAACUGGUAACCUUGAGUAUAAUUGAAGUGGGCGGAAUGUGUCAUGUAGCGGUGAAAUGCUUAGAUAUGACACAGAACACCGAUUGCGAAGGCAGCUCACUAAGUUAUAACUGACGCUGAGGGACGAAAGCGUGGGUAGCGAACAGG
rnacentral:rRNA from 1 species